CAUCGGACUCAGCCAAUGGCGUCGCACUGAAAGGAGCUGGGCGUUCCAUUCGGUUAGGAGCAGAAGUUGAACAGCGCGAGCCGAGACAGAGCUCUAGAAAGGCAGAUAGGGAGAGGGCAGAGGCAACGGCCCUCUACUGGAGGGGGGGCUUAUUAUAACAAAUAUAUACACACAUGUGUGAACUGUUGGGCUGCACGAUAGGUCAUAUGUGGAUAAUAGUUAUUUUAGAAAAGCAUAUAACUGCGGCUUUACAUUUAAAAUGCCUAUUUUACUUUUCCUGUUAGACACGUCCGCCUCUAUGAAUCAGCGCACUUAUUUGGGUACGACGUAUCUGGACGUUGCUAAAGGCGCGGUUGAGGUCUUUAUGAAGCUGCGUGCCCGAGACCCGGCUAGUAGAGGCGACAGGUACAUGCUAGUUACAUUCGAUGAUCCACCAUACGGAGUGAAGGCCGGCUGGAAGGAGAACCAUGCCACUUUCAUGUGCGAGCUGAAGAAUCUGCAGGCGUCCGGGCUCACAACAUUAGGACACGCUCUUCGCACCGCCUUCGACCUGCUUAACCUCAACCGCCUCAUCUCGGGAAUCGACAACUACGGGCAGGGCCGCAACCCAUUCUUCCUUGAGCCAUCUGUGAUCAUCACCAUCACUGAUGGGAACAAGCUCACGCACAGCUCGGGAGUGCCAGAUGAGCUGCACCUGCCUCUGAAUUCUCCCUUGGCUGGCAGCGAGCUGACCAAAGAGCCUUUUCGCUGGGACCAGCGUCUGUUUGCAUUGGUACUGAGGCUGCCAGGAGCAGCUACACCAGAUAAUGAGCAACUUGGUAGUGUCCCCACGGAUGAGUCUGCAAUCACCCAGAUGUGUGAAGUUACUGGAGGGCGAUCAUAUUGCGUGCGAACACAGAGGAUGUUGAACCAGUGUCUGGAGUCUCUGGUCCAAAAGGUUCAAAGCGGUGUUGUCAUUAAUUUUGAAAAAAACGGGCCAGAUCCGCCUCCAAUUGGGGAAGAUAAUUCUGUGGACUCAAAUCGGCCUGUGUCAUCCUUCGGCCCACAGCCAUGGCACAGCUGCCACAAACUCAUCUAUGUGCGACCAAACCCAAAGACUGGGGUGCCAGUCGGGCAUUGGCCCAUACCAGAGUCCUUCUGGCCGGACCAGAACUCUCCAACCCUACCACCUCGCACUGCUCACCCCGUGGUGCGUUUCUCUUGCGUGGACUGUGAACCCAUGGUGAUCGACAAGCUUCCCUUCGACAAGUAUGAACUGGAGCCCUCUCCGCUCACCCAGUACAUCCUGGAAAGGAAGUCCCCACACAUGUGCUGGCAGGUGUUUGUCAGCAGCAGCGGGAAGCAGAAUGACCUGGGGCAUCCUUUUGGCUACCUUAAAGCCAGCACCACUCUCACCUGUGUUAAUCUGUUUGUUAUGCCGUACAACUACCCAGUCCUUCUCCCACUCCUCGACGAUUUUUUCAAAGUGCACAAACUAAAACCAAACCUUAAGUGGCGACAGGCCUUUGAGAUGUACCUGAAGACGAUGCCUCCAUACUACCUCUUGCCCUUGAAAAAGGCACUGAGGAUGAUGGGUGCACCUAACCUUAUCGCGGACACCAUGGACUGCGGACUGAGUUACAGCGUCAUUUCUUACCUGAAGAAGCUCAGCCAGCAGGCAAAAAUGGAGUCGGAUCGUCUGAUUGUGUCGGUGGGGAAAAAGGCUCCGCAGGAAACUGGCAUAAAGGUGAAGAACCACUCCAGCUCGCUUUCUCUAGCCCACCGGCGAGACUUUAAGCAGCUGCUGCAGGGAAUCACGGGGGAGGGGCCCCUUCGCCUGCCGGACAUUAAUUUCAAAGAGUUUGCCGGUUUCCAGAUCGUCCUGCUCAACAAGGAUGUAAAGCCUCAAGCUUAUCGGAAUGCCUACGACAUCCCAAGACGGAACCUCCUGGAUCAGCUCACACGAAUGCGCUCCAAUUUGCUGCGGACGUCACUAAAACUGAUCCGAGGGCAAGAUGAAGAUUCCCUGCACAGUAUUCCAGUGGCUCAGAUGGGAAACUAUCAGGAGUACCUAAAAAUGAUGCCAUCUCCUUUGAGAGAGAUUGAUCCCGAUCAGCCUAAACGGCUGCACACAUUUGGGAACCCUUUCAAGCAGGAUAAGAAGGGGAUGAUGAUCGAUGAGGCGGAUGAGUUUGUAGCAGGCCCUCAAAAUAAGAAGAGAGGAAAUUCCAGUGACUCCAAUUCGGGAGCUACCGUGAAGAGAAGGCGGAACAUGUCACCGUUGCUACGGCGGCCGCAGACCCCAUCAGGGAACACCAACCAUGUGGUGAUUGGGAAGAACCUAGCAGGGAUUCAGGGGCAGCAGAACCUCCUCAAACCGGGUCCACAGAACAAAGCAGUGGAUAGCAUGGUGGUCACAGAGAGUAAUGGCGACAGCGCUCUCGGGCUCGACUCUGGGGAAAUCUGGCCUGCAGAGAUGGAAACUGAGGCAGGGAAUACAUCCUCACCGAGUUUAGAGGAGAACGUUGAGACAGGAGCAGCAGUUCGCGGGGAGGACCUCGGCACGAUGGAGGAGAGGCUGGUGGAAGAUCAUCUAAACGAGCAGCCGCUGGAGGAGAAGCACAACUGUGAACGCCUGAGUCCACAGAGCCAGCUGGAUGGCGCUGACGCUGAGCCGGCAGUGCCUGAGAUCAUUUUCAUAGCUCCACUAGACGGCAACCUGGCAGAGCUGCGGACGCGGGUCAUCAAGGAGGUCCGCAAACCCGGACGAACUUUUGUUGACAGAUACAGUGAAGAAAUGACAGGAAGGGACAGCAAAGACAGAGGCAGGGGAAGACACGUGGCAAAGAGCCGCGGGUCAGACUCGAACCCGCGGCCUGCUCAAAUCACUGAGCUAAAUCGGCGCCCGAUCACAGUGGAUUUAUUGAACUUGAAAACAUUGUCCUUUCAACAGCGAAUUUCUUUACAUUAUACUUCACUUUAUCAGGAAGUUGGUACACUGAAAGGCGAGCGCAUCGUAGCCAAAAACAGCAGCAUUCGUCCCAUAAUGUUUAAAUCUUGCCACAGUGAGACUUCUUUAGCUGUUUACAUUUAAUACUUAUUAAUCUAAGGUAAUCUACGGUUCGUAUUCAUCAUCUGAUUAUGAGUUCCAGCACAAGCUGAUUUCUAGUCAUCUGAUGAGAUUUCAGGGUCCUGAUUUUCAUCCCCAUGCAUUUAGUUUUUCAUGUGAACUCCCAGAUAAAGAUGCUCUAAAAAGGUAAUUAGACUGAGUGAUGCACUUUCUAAAACAGUCUUUGGUCAUUGUUGGUGGGGGAAUUAUGCUGCUGUGCCUUUAAAAUGUUCUUUUAAGAUAAAAUGUUUCCCUUUAGUUCAAAGUUCGGAUGAAACGGAUGUUAAACCUCUUCGAACACAUGAAAACUCUUUUCUCCUUGGGCGUCUGUUAGAGUUAUUGUCAGAUGUCGUCUUUAUGGGGGUAAAGUUAAAGGUCGAAGCUUGAUUGUCCUUAAUGCUUGAUCAUAUCACACUUUCACAUGUUUUAAAAUUGGAUUCGUUUUCUGAUUUUUAGCUUUUUUUCAUUACAUCAGAGAAGAGGUAGCUGUAGCCCAUUUACAGUCUAUGUGCACCCAGUGAGGAACAUUGCAGUAUUUUUAAAAAAAAAUAAAACAUAAUGGAUCUGUCAGCUGUGCGGCCAGUAAUACAACAUUAACAAUAUGUUUACACAUUUUUAAAAACUUUUUUUCAUAUAAAUCCCAAAUUGUUUUUGAUUUCUCAGCUAAAUCAGUCAGAGGUGGCAGAGAAAUGUAAAAUACUGAUUCAUUUUAUUUCUAAUUUGAGGACGUACUGGGAACAUUUGAACCGCUUCCUUACCUUGUGCCUUUUCUCAGACUAUGAUGCAAUACUCAGACUACUGCAGCAGGUGAAAGGCCCGCCAAACGUACAGAGGUACUUUAUCCAGCACGCCAUCAAAGAAGCAAUGAGGUUCAAGAAGCGAGUACUGAUCCAGCAGCUGGAGA